rnacentral:rRNA from 1 species
GGGGAAUAUUGGACAAUGGGGGCAACCCUGAUCCAGCAAUGCCGCGUGUGUGAAGAAGGUCUUCGGAUUGUAAAGCACUUUCGACGGGGACGAUGAUGACGGUACCCGUAGAAGAAGCCCCGGCUAACUUCGUGCCAGCAGCCGCGGUAAUACGAAGGGGGCUAGCGUUGCUCGGAAUGACUGGGCGUAAAGGGCGUGUAGGCGGUUUACACAGUCAGAUGUGGAAUCCCCGGGCUUAACCUGGGAGCUGCAUUUGAUACGUGUAGACUAGAGUGUGAGAGAGGGUUGUGGAAUUCCCAGUGUAGAGGUGAAAUUCGUAGAUAUUGGGAAGAACACCGGUGGCGAAGGCGGCAACCUGGCUCAUGACUGACGCUGAGGCGCGAAAAGCGUGGGGAGCAAACAGG